AAAGCUUUAGCUUAAUUAAAGCGUUUGAGUUGCAUUCAGAAGAUGUGGGCUAGGAUCCUGCAAGUUUUA
rnacentral:tRNA from 1 species